UACAGAGGGUGCAAGCGUUGCUCGGAAUUAUUGGGCGUAAAGGGUAGGUAGGUGGUCUCAUUUGUCUGGGGUGAAAUCCUUGGGCUUAACUCAAGAGGUGCCCCAGAAACGGUGAGACUGGAGUCCUGGAGAGGGUCGUGGAAUUCCCGGUGUAGCGGUGAAAUGCGUAGAGACCGGGAGGAACACCAGAGGCGAAGGCGGCGACCUGGACAGGUACUGACACUCAACUACGAAAGCGUGGGGAGCAAACAGG
rnacentral:rRNA from 1 species